AAAACGGCCUUCCCGGUAAUCUGGAGUAGCCUCCCUGGAGCCAGGCCUGGGGACACAGAUGGGCAAUGCAUGGCCCCUGCCCUCAAGGAGGUGGUGGAGAUAAGCAACAGACCAUCAUUGGUUCAAGCCCUAUUUCAUGAAGAGGAGCCCCCCAGUAAGACACACCUUCCUCUGCUGCAGAUUCUCAGUGACGUGUCUCCUGACAGCCACACUUACUCCUUCUAAAUUCAUAAUAAAUCCAAGACUUAGCUGAUGACAUCUGCAAAGACCCUAUUCCCGAAAAAGGACUCAUACUCAGGUUCUGGGUUGAUACGAAUUUUAGGGGCCACUGCUGGGCCAGGACACACUCCUGCCUGAGUGUAAAUCUACCUGGUUUGACUCAGUCUCACAGUCUACUGCUUCUUAUGUACUUGAAGUGAACAAAUGGCUGAC